GAAGUUUUUGUUCCACAACCUCAAGUCAGAAGAACCUGAAACACGGCUUUUAAUAGCUGGGCAUUGUUGAGUCAUCGACAGGUGUGCUGAUGAUUUAGCAAAGCAUUUUGAAGAGACUGUACGUACUGCUUAAGUUGCCUGAGAAUUAUCAUUCGGUUCCUCAACCAAUCCCUUAUAAGUGAUAUGGUGCCGCUGCCGCAUUUGGACACCUUUGUUGUUUGUCGAAGCAACAACUUUGUCUCCUCAAUCUCUAUGAAGAAGGAGAGAUCCCCGAGACUGUGGAGAUGGAGCGCGGUGAUCUCUGCAAGAUUGUUAAAAGGAGCAAUCGAAAUUGACUUGAUCUGAACUCAAACAUAGCUUAAGUUUUGGGUGGUGCUACCUUCUGUUGUUCUUCUGUUCAAUGUUUAUGAUUUUGAGUUGUAUAGUGAAAUUUUAUUUUGUAUGAGUUUCCUUAUGUCCUGAUAGAAACUUGUCAUUCUGUGGUUCGUCCGUAGUUAGAUCUUCUUAGAAUGUUUUAAUAAGUGUCCCAAUACAAUCUUCUUAAAUUAAGGAACCAUCUUUUGCGUCA